rnacentral:rRNA from 1 species
CAGGGUGGAGCUAUCCAAGUGACAGCAAUGGCGCGGCGUGGGUUUGGCAGUGAAGGAAAGCCAAUAGGCUUGCUGUCAAACCACUUUGCUGUGAAGCUUAAUGGGAUUGGUGUGUUUUUCUACCAAUACAGUGUGUCCAUCAAAUCUGGUGACAAUAAGGUGGUUCAUGGCAAGCGUAUUGGCCGAAAGGUCAUCGAACAAAUGUUGCGAACAUACAGCUCUGAGCUUGCUGGGAAGGAUUGUGCAUAUGAUGGUGAGAAAUGUCUAUUUACUGUUGGGCCUCUUCCACAGAACAACUACAAGUUCACUGUUAUCAUGGAAACAUCUUCAAGGGCUGUUGGUGGGAGUCCAGGACAUGGAGGCCCUGAUCUAGGCGAUGAGAAACAAGCGAAGCGGUCACCUCUUCCAAAACAGUUUGUAGUCAGUAUAAUAUAUGCAGCAAAGAUUUCCCUCAGAUCAGUUGCUUUAGCGCUCCAAGGAAGUGACUCAGAUCAUGCCCAGGAUGCUCUGAGAGUCCUUGACAUUGUUUUAAAGCAACAACAGGCUAAGCGAGGUUGCCUACUUGUUAGACAAUCAUUUUUCAGUGAUGACAAUAGAAAUUUAGUUGAUUUAACUGGCGGCGUCAGUGGGUGCAGUGGAUUCCAUGCUAGUUUCCAUACUACAAUGGGUGGUCUAUUUUUAAAUACAGAUGUUUCGACUACUAUGAUUGUGACUCCUGGACCUCUUGUCAACUUUCUUCUUACAAACCAAAAUGUCAGAGACAUUAGAGACAUUGACUGGCCCAAGGCGAAGGAAAUGUUAAAAAAUCUGAGAGUUAAAGCUAAACACAACAACAUGGAAUUUAAGAUCAUUGGACUUAGUGAUCAACCAUGCUUUAGACAGACAUUUCCAAUGGAAGUUCGGAGCGGAAGCAGUGAAGGUCAGACUGUUGAUAUUACUGUUGAGGAAUAUUUUAAAUCCAAGCAGGUGUUUUUGGAGAAGCCUUAUUUGCCAUGUCUUGAUGUGGGAAAACCAGAAUGCCCGAAUUAUCUCCCAGUUGAGCUGGCGAACCUGAUAUCACUUCAACGUUACCGGAAUGCACUGUCUUCUCAGCAAAGAGCGAUACUAGUUGAAAAGUCACGACAGAAACCUCAGGAUCGCAUAAGAGUUAUUACUGAUGCAGUAAAAAGUAGCCAAUAUAAUGAUGAUCCAUUUUUUUCUUCUGGUGGCAUUGAAAUUGAGAAUAAACUCAUGCCUGUUGAUGGCCGUGUUCUGUCCGCACCAACGUUGCUUGUGGGGAAUAGUGAAGAAUGUAUUCCAACCAGAGGCAGUUGGAAUUAUAAUAACAAGAAACUAUUCGAGCCUGUAAAGAUUGAGCGAUGGGCAAUUGUCAACUUCUCUGCUUCUUGUGACAUGAGCCGGAUCUCAAGAGAUAUGAUAAACUGUGGACGAAGCAAAGGCAUUAUUAUUGAAGAGCCUCACAGCCUGGUGAAUGAAGAUAGCCAAGCUAGGAUAUGUGCUCCUACUGUAAGAGUCGAAAGGAUGUUCGAAAAAGUUAAAACAAACCUUCCUUGGCGUCCAGAAUUUCUGCUAUGUGUUUUACCGGAGAGGAAGAAUUGUGAUAUUUAUGGCCCAUGGAAGAAGAAAAAUCUUCAUGAGAUGGGUAUUGUCACUCAGUGCAUUGUUCCUAAUAAUAAGAUGAAUGAUCAAUACUUCACCAAUGUUCUUCUAAAGAUCAAUGCUAAGCUUGGCGGAAUUAACUCCAAACUGACACUAGAGGAUCGCCAUAUGAUUCCAGUUGUCAAUGAGAUACCCACGUUAAUUUUGGGAAUGGAUGUAUCACAUGGUCCUCCAGGUCGAUCAGAUAAACCAUCAGUUGCUGCUGUGGUUGGAUCCAGAUAUUGGCCCCUGAUAUCACGCUAUAGGGCAUCUGUUCGGACCCAGUCUCCAAAGGUAGAGAUGAUUGAUUCUCUUUUUAAGCCACUGAAGGGUGAGAAGGAUGAUGGUAUAAUAAGGGAACUUCUGCUAGACUUCUACAAAACCAGUCAACAAAGAAAGCCAGCACAUAUAAUCAUUUUCAGGGAUGGUGUGAGUGAGUCUCAGUUUAGCCAAGUACUGGAUCUUGAGGUUGAUCAGAUUAUAAAGGCUUACAAGAAUAUGGAUCAGGGGGCACUUCCGAAGAUUACAGUUAUCAUUGCUCAAAAGAAUCACCACACGAAACUGUUCCAAGCUGAUGCACCAGAUAAUGUUCCACCUGGAACUGUAGUGGACUCGGGCAUUGUUCAUCCGAAACAGUAUGAUUUCUACAUGUGUGCUCAUGCGGGACCUAUAGGUACCUCAAGGCCCACCCAUUAUCAUGUCUUGCUUGAUCAGAUUGGGUUCUCACCAGAUGAUCUCCAGAAGCUUGUUCUUUCGCUUUCCUAUGUGAAUCAGAGGAGCACCACUGCUAUAUCUGUGGUGGCACCUAUCUGUUACGCUCACCUUGCAGCAGCGCAGAUGAGCCAGUUCAUGAAAUUUGAGGAGUUUGAUGAUAGUUCAACAGAAGUAGUCCCAGAACUGCCACGGCUGCAUCCUCGUGUCAGCAGUUCGAUGUUCUUUUGUUGA